CUGCAUCUCUGCAUCUCUUCAAGGAGCCAUUCCCAGCUUUGUGAUUUCGAUGAGCUCUGAUGUUUYUGGGUUGAUAUCACCUGUGAAAAUCAAGCAUUCACAUGAACUGGAGCUUUCUGGCAACCCUGCAGGAAAUUCAAUAGGACCUGAAAAAGGGGUCAACCAAGUACUGUGACUUCUACUAUAAAAUAUUUCUGCUGUAACAUCAACACCAGAGAAUUCUAAGGAUCAAACUUUCAAUUCAAAUCUUUCCUUCAGAUGAGAUGUUACGCAUCACUCUUCUUUCACAUCCUGUCCAGAACUACUGAAUAUUUCCAUGUAAAUAGGAGCCAAACACAGUUGAUGGCUAUUUAAAGACGUUUGACAGCUGUG